CACACCUCACUGGAUCGUUAAUAUCCCCCUGAACUCCAUUGCUGUGUUUGAAUUGUGAAUGAGCAGAAAGACCGAUUGAAAGUGUAGUCGAGUCACGUUUUCCCUUAUAGUUUGUGAAAGCCCUGGAGUAUCAGUCAGCUGCAUCUACUUCCUCCUGGUUCACGUGUGUCCUUAACCUGCAACUACUGAUCGUGUUUUAUCCGGUGGAAGCAUGCAUUGCCAUUCACUCACGUUUUACGGGGGAGUCAAAGCAGCAGUUGCUGAAGGCAAAAGGCAAACUGAUUCAUGUAAAUUUAUAAAUAUAUGAAUGCAGAAGCUCUAAAAAUAGACUUGUUUUUCCCUGCAAAACCAAUUCAUUUGAGACAGGCUCCUUUCACUGGGGAGAAUCUGUGAAUAGAGGAACUUCCCUUCUCAUAAGAGAAUACUACACAUUUGGGAUAUUAAAUGGCUUCAAUAGAUUUGACAUUUUAAAUGAGCCAAAAAUUAUAGAUGAACAGGAUUUUGCUGGCUCACAAUACAGAUCCUAUACAAUCCACCUACAGCAGGAUCAGGAAAAUGAGCACAAUAUUCUUGUCAAGGAGACAGAUGAGGUCCAUCUGGUGAAGAAGGAGAAUCCAAUUCUCUUCCACGUCAUGAAACAUGCUGUCGUACCCUCAGUGGUCCCGAUUCCAGCUUGAGAAUGGGCCCUUUCCAGCUCGGCUGCUCUUCUGGAAUAACGCCGGUCAGGUGACUGACUACGCCACCAGAGAGAAUACGAACGCAGUGUCAGAUGUGAUCAUGAUUUAUGACUAGAAUUCAGGAUAAACUGUAAGCAGAAUUAGCAUUAACAUUUCAAAAUGGGAGUCAUGUCAUUGUAUGUGUGUUGAUUGAUUGAUAGAUUUGUAUUCUUGCCUACUGAUAGAAUCACAGUUCAUGGAAUCAUCUAGCAUGAAUAUAUGAGUUGAGUUCAAUAAUAUUUCUUUUUUUUCAUCAUAACUAUUUAAAGCUUAAAGACAGAGCAUUGCAAUAAAACCCACAGAAUAUUUUGCAUCAGAAAGUCAAUACACAAAAUAUUGACUUUAUAAAAUCAUAAAAAAAGUGAUCUUUAUUUAAAGGACACACAUUUCAAAAUAAGAGUGCUUUAAUUGUUUAUAUUUCCAGUGCAGCAUGUGACUCUUAUUGAAGCUGUGGCUGUGAAAGUAGAAUGUAUUACAAGACAUUUUCAUAUACCUGGGGUUUGACAGUCAAAGAUUAAACACAAAUAAUAAUAGAAUUCUUUCCUCAAAAUUCACACCUUUUGUGAAGUAAAGUUUGUCUUUUAAAAUGAUCCAUUGGAUUGUACCUGAAUUACCA
ensembl:lncRNA